rnacentral:rRNA from 1 species
AAUGAACGCUGGCGGCAGGCCUAACACAUGCAAGUUGAACGCACCGCAAGGUGAGUGGCAGACGGGUGAGUAACGCGUGGGAACCUUCCCUUUGGUUCAGGAUAGCCCCGGGAAACUGGGAUUAAUACUGGAUAAGAUCUACGGAUGAAAGAUUUGUCGCCGAAGGAUGGGCCCGCGUAAGAUUAGCUAGUUGGUGAGGUAAUGGCUCACCAAGGCUUUGAUCUUUAGCUGGUCUGAGAGGAUGAUCAGCCACACUGGAACUGAGACACGGUCCAGACUCCUACGGGAGGCAGCAGUGAGGAAUAUUGGACAAUGGGCGCAAGCCUGAUCCAGCCAUGCCGCGUGAGUGAUGAAGGCCUUAGGGUUGUAAAACUCUUUUAGUGGGGAAAAUAAUGAUGGUACCCACAGAAAAAGCUCCGGCUAACUUCGUGCCAGCAGCCGCCGUAA